UACGUAGGGCGCAAGCGUUGUCCGGAAUUAUUGGGCGUAAAGAGCUCGUAGGCGGUCUGUUACGUCUGCUGUGAAAACCCAGGGCUUAACCCUGGGCUUGCAGUGGAUACGGGCAGACUAGAGGCAGGUAGGGGAGAAUGGAAUUCCCGGUGUAGCGGUGAAAUGCGUUGAUAUCCUAAGGAACACCGGUGGCGAAAGCGGCUCACUGGAUCUCUUCUGACGCUGAGGCACGAAAGCUAGGGUAGCGAACGGG
rnacentral:rRNA from 1 species